AUGCCUGUUAGCUACUCCACCCUUAGAGAUUCUGAUCGGGAGUUCAUAGUGGCUAAGUACCUUAAAAAAUUCGAGGCAUGGAUCGGUAAUGCUGCAUCUAUGGGGGGUAGACUAACUUUGUUGGACUCAGUUGUCACCCAAAUAUCCUUAUAUCAUAUGUCUAUGUGGCUUAUGAGCAAAACCUUCAUUGAAAAACUUGAUAAACAUAGAAGGAAAUUCUUUUGGCAAGGUUGUAACAAGGAAAGGAGGUAUCAUUUGGUCAAAUGGGGCAGAAUCUGUAGAUCUCGAGAUAAAGGUGGUCUAGGAGUUAAAGAUCUUCGGAAACAAAACAUCAGUUUGAUGGUCAAAUGGUGGUGGAAACUUGAGACCCAAAAUGGCCUUUGGCAAAAAAUCAUUCGUGCCCGAUAUUUGAAAAAUAGAACUAUGGCUACGGUUGAACCCAGGUUCAAUGACUCUCCAUGCUGGAAAGCCCUUCUUAAAGUUAAGACCCUGUAUAUGGCUGGUAGGAAAAUUAAAACUGAAUCAGGGGAUCUAACUAGAGUGUGGAAAGACUCUAUUAAUGGGUCUAGACCAUUCCAGGACUGUUAUCCCCUGCUGUUUGACAUAUGCACCGAGCAGGACUGCACUGUUGCAAAAGUCAAAUCUGUGACUCCCAACACCUUCUUUAGA
rnacentral:rRNA from 1 species